rnacentral:rRNA from 1 species
CCCUUAGAUGUCCUGGGCUGCACGCGCGCUACACUGAUGUGUCCAGUAAGCACCUAACCUCUUCCGAAAGGAACGGGUAACCUUUGCAAAGCACAUCGUGAUGGGGAUAGAUUAUUGCAAUUAUUAGUCUUGAACGAGGAAUUCCUAGUAAGCACAAGUCAUCAGCUUGUGUUGAUUACGUCCCUGCCCUUUGUACACACCGCCCGUCGCUCCUACCGAUUGAAUGUUCCGGUGAGCUCUUCGGACUGCGCGGUCUGCAGUUUCUGCGUUCCGUGCGGAAAGUUGCGCAAACCUUAACAUUUAAAGGAAGGAGAAGUCGUAACA